rnacentral:rRNA from 1 species
AUUGAACGCUGGCGGCAGGCCUAACACAUGCAAGUCGAACGAGUGGCGGACGGGUGAGUAAUGUCUGGGAAAAUGCCUGAGGGAGGGGGAUAACUACUGGAAAAGGUAGCUAAUACCGCAUACCAUCAGAUGUGCCCAGAUGGGAUUAGCUAGUUGGUGGGGUAAAGGCUCACCAAGGCGACGAUCCCUAGCUGGGCUGAGAGGAUGACCGGCCACCCUGGAACUGAGACACGGUCCAGACUCCUACGGGAGGCAGCAGUGGGGAAUAUUGCACAAUGGGCUCAAGCCUGAUACAGCCAUGCCGCGUGUAUGAAGAAGGCCUUCGGUUUGUAAAGUACUUUCAGCGGUGAGGCGUUACCCUCAGAAGAAGCACCGGCUAACUCCGUGCCAGCAGCCGCGGUAAUAC